rnacentral:piRNA from 1 species
UGAGAAGAUUUCAAGUCCCCAAACCUCCUC